ACGAGGUCUUCAUUCAAACGGUUCGACAUCGCAAGGAUCAUCACCGGUUAUGGACUCUCAGUAAGUUUUUCAUAACACAUAAACUAUAAGACUUGUUACAACGUAUGUGUGUGUUUUAUUUAUUUAUUUGUUAAUAGGUGUAACUUUUCUGUAGAACCACUCGAAGGACCAUCAAACCUGGCGUGUUUUGAAACACUGGGGUUCGAAAGUCUAUGGACCGAGGGUUUUGGUGCGGGUGAUUCUGAACCACAAAUUUCAUACCAAGCAGAACAUUAUCCAAAUUACAACGUUGUAACCGAGGAUGUUGGAUGCUCAGCCGACAGUUUAGCAACCAUCAGACAACUAGUGGACACCAUUCCUAAGCCACGCGUUGAUAAUACAGGGGUCGACAAGCCGUCAGGUCGGAAGGCUACACGCAAACGCAAGCACCUAGCUCCCGUGGUGGAUCUGUGCGUGGAAAAGGCACAAAAACAUAUGGUGAAAAAGCCGCAAGGUGUGUAUUACAUAUGUUUUAACACAAUUUAUUAUUAUUUUAAUAAAAUAUUGACAAUCAGGUUUGAUAAAACUAUCAGGAAAGAAGACGAAAACAGCUUUCAAGCUCCCGGAAAAGCCAGAAGGUAGAAUCCCCGUAAACGUUGAUCUCGACUUUGUCACCGAUUGGACCAACGCGGAUUACAAAGCGUGGGAUGCUGUAGAUUUUGCCAGAUCAGACAUCGCUACGCAAACAGAACCAAACCACAUCGACCCACAGAGGUACCGGCGGUUUUCUAAUCAUUCUGAAUGCUGUGUAUGCCUUAAACAGGUAUUAGAUAACAUUGUUAAGGUGUAUGACUUGCAAGAAAAGUUGAUUAGUACUGUGGG
rnacentral:lncRNA from 1 species